rnacentral:pre_miRNA from 1 species
AUAUGCAUCACCUGGGUAUCUUGUUAAAAUGUAGAUUCUUAGUUUCAAUAGGUCUGAGACCAGAGAUCCUGCAUUCCUAACAAGUUUCCAGGUAAUGCCAUU